rnacentral:lncRNA from 1 species
CAAAAAAAGAAACAGAAAAAAAAAAAAUCGAGUGUCUCCAAGGACAUUUGAGCCGCUCUGAGUUUUCCGUUGCAAAUUUCCUCUAGAAAAUUCCUCCUCUCUUUCCUCUUGCACCUUGAACCUCUGGGCCUUGACUCAGUUCAUCUGCCUGCCAUGGGACGCCCUUGUGUGAUUCUCCAGUUACAGCACAGGCCCAUCUCUUUCCACAUAAUCUGAGGAACUCCUGUCCUCCCUCUUGGCUCCUGUUCUGCUCCCAGAAAAUGGGUUGACUUUAGUUUCUCCUGGCCUUGUUGGUGACUUCAUUAAAGAAAUGGAUGCCCGA